CAUUUAUAUACAUAUACACAAUUACACAUAUUUGGAAACGACUAACAUCACAAAAAGAAGUUCAGGAAUGACUAUAAUUAGCCGGAACAACCAGGAGGACUGUAUGUUGAUAACUUUGUAAUGUACAAGUUAAUUAGGAUAGACUUGAAUGCAGGUAACGAGUGGACGGAGUGGUAGACUUUAAGGUAUGAGGGCAGACUGUUCCAUAGUUCGGCUGAUCUAAGGCCAAAUAAAAAAAAAUACUUGGUUAGCGUCACCGCCCGCCUCUCGAUUUUCUGCCGCCUCUGAAUUUUUUUUUUUUUUUUUUUAUGUAAAUCUCUUCGUUUUACAGCUUAAAACAGUUUAAUAUUUGAAAUUUUUCUCAUGUUC